rnacentral:misc_RNA from 1 species
UCAAUACUUGUAAAUGUCUUCACUCAAAUUUGUUGUGCCAAAAACCUAUAUCAAUGUUGAAAAGCAAAAGGGAUCUUACUAUCCUUUUCCCCCGAAACAAUCAGAAACAAAAACAUUGCGAUACAUAGUGAGACAAACAGAGCAUCAUAUUACACCAAAGAAAAAUUGAAAAGUAAAGGAAACUUAACAACUAAAUUCAACGGAUGGUGGUGACUGUGGAAAUUCUCCAUUUAGCUCAAGAAUUGUUUUCCCUCAGUCUCAUAUUAACUUUUUCACCAUAUUUUCCUCUCUCAUAUGGGAUGUACCAGGGGCACAUAAAUGAAAUGAACUUCAUCCAACUUUUCAAAUGCUCAAACUCAGCUCAGGUUGUUUCCUGUGGCCCUGCCAGGGUCAAACUUGGGUAAAGCCACCAUGUUUAAAUUUUAUGCCAGAUAACUCAGCUUACUUAUGAAGCCAGUGCUAAACACAGCCACCAGAAGCCACCCAAGUGGAACAAUUAUAUAAACUAAUUAGCUCAGCCCAUUUUGGCUCGUGAGUCAGCUAGUCUGUAGGCUUAUGAGUUGUGACCCAGCUUGAAUAUAAAUUGAUUUAUAACUUCAUAUUAAAUUGAAGGUCUAUUGUUUUUAAUUUAUUAUAAGCAUAGAAAUACUAAAUUGAAGACCUACACAUUUUUAUCUGGAUAUGAUCAGGUUGCUUGGGACUAAAUUCAAGAUCUCUAAAAUUUCAAUGGCAGAA